GAUGAACGCUAGCGGCAGGCUUAAUACAUGCAAGUCGUGGGGCAGCGCAGUGUAGCAAUACAUGGGCGGCGACCGGCAAACGGGUGCGGAACACGUACACAACCUUCCUUUUAGUGGAGCAUAGCCUAAGGAAACUUGGAUUAAUACUCCGUAACAUAAUGAAAUGGCAUCAUUUUAUUAUUAUAGCAGCAAUGCGCUAGAAGACGGGUGUGCGGCUGAUUAGGUAGUUGGCGGGGUAACGGCCCACCAAGCCUACGAUCAGUAACUGGUGUGGGAGCACGACCAGUCAAACGGGAACUGAGACACAGGCCCGACUCCUACGGGAGGCAGCAGUAAGGAAUAUUGGUCAAUGGACGAAAGUCUGAACCAGCCAUGCCGCGUGGAGGAUGAAGGCCCUCUGGGUUGUAAACUUCUUUUAUAUGGGACGAAAAAGGGACUUUCUAGUUCAACUGACGGUACCAUAGGAAUAAGCACCGGCUAACUCCGUGCCAGCCGCCGCCGUAAUAC
rnacentral:rRNA from 1 species